ensembl:lncRNA
UUGGAAUUAGUUUUGAUGGGGUUCAUUAGCUGAAUAAUAUGGUUUAAUUUCCUGACUUUAGAGAACAAUGCAUUAAUCAAUUCAUUUUUUUUUAGAAGAAUAGACUGGUUCUCCGAUUUCUAGUAACUGAUCACUGCAUUUCACACAUCAGAUGACUUGUCAUGGGUCAUCUUCACACUACUGUUUCAACUCUGCUCUAAGAGGAAGUGGGUGAAUGGGGCGGAGGAUGGACAGGCAGUGGCGGCAGGGGGGUGGGGGCAGAGCAGAGCCACCUACCCUUAAAUACACAUCUAGAUUUAAAGCGAAUUUAAUAAGUGUGUGAGCAUCACCAGAUCAAACUCGAGAUACCCCCAGAGAGAGGAGAGGAACUUGCGGAGAAGAUGGAGAUGAAGAUGCGCUGUGUGUGCUUGGUCCUGGGGCUGGUCCUGCUGAUGACCGUCUCCUCAGACAGUGAACCUCAUGGUGAUGGCCAUCCUGAUGAGUGCUGUUUCACCUUCAGCGAUAUUAAAAUUCCCCCCAAACGAAUCAUAAAAGUGGAAAAAACAAGUUCUGACUGCCCACAGCCAGGCUACAUUGUUACUACGGUCAAGAACAAGUUCUGCAAGCAUGACAUAAAGGAAUUGACCAUUUGAAGACUAUAUUCCAGCACUGCAGCUUCUAUGUAACCCAAAUGCAACAUCUAAAGUGCAUGAAAAGUUGAUUUGCUCCUAUAUUCACCAUAUUGUGAAUUAUACUAUCGAUGCUUUUUACUGCUGUGGAUCCAAAUAACAGAAUAAAAUGAUGCAAGUGAACCGUUUCCAUCGUCUCAUUAUUACGAGUAAGACAGCAGCGCUGC